GUAAGGAAUAUUGGUCAAUGGACGAAAGUCUGAACCAGCCAUGCCGCGUGAAGGAUGAAGGCCCUCUGGGUUGUAAACUUCUUUUAUCUGGGACGAAAAAAGGGUAUUCUUACUCACUUGACGGUACCAGAGGAAUAAGCACCGGCUAACUCCGUGCCAGCAGCCGCGGUAAUACGGAGGGUGCAAGCGUUAUCCGGAUUCACUGGGUUUAAAGGGUGCGUCGGUGGGUAUUUAAGUCAGUGGUGAAAUCUCAGAGCUUAACUCGGAAACUGACAUUGGUAGUAUUUACCUUGAAUGCCCUGGAGGUAAGCGGAAUAUGUCAUGUAGCGGUGAAAUGCUUAGAUAUGACAUAGAACACCAAUUGCGAAGGCAGCUUACUACGGGGUGAUUGACACUGAGGCACGAAAGCGUGGGGAGCAAACAGGAUUCGAUGCCCGAGUAGUCC
rnacentral:rRNA from 1 species